AACGAACGCUGGCGGCAUGCCUAACACAUGCAAGUCGAACGAAGUCUUCGGACUUAGUGGCGCACGGGUGCGUAACGCGUGGGAAUCUGCCCUUGGGUGCGGAAUAACUUCUCGAAAGGGAUGCUAAUACCGCAUAAUGUCGUAAGACCAAAGAUUUAUCGCCCAAGGAUGAGCCCGCGUAAGAUUAGCUAGUUGGUGGGGUAAAAGCCUACCAAGGCGACGAUCUUUAGCUGGUCUGAGGGGAUGAUCAGCCACACUGGGACUGAGACACGGCCCAGACUCCUACGGGAGGCAGCAGUGGGGAAUAUUGGACAAUGGGCGAAAGCCUGAUCCAGCAAUGCCGCGUGAGUGAUGAAGGCCCUAGGGUUGUAAAGACUCUUUUACCAGGGAUGAUAAUGACAGUACCUGGAGAAUAAGCUCCGGCUAACUCCGUGCCAGCAGCCGCGGU
rnacentral:rRNA from 1 species